rnacentral:rRNA from 1 species
GUCUAGAGGCUUCGGCAAUGGGGGCAACCCUGACCGAGCGACGCCGCGUGUGGGAUUGAAGGCCUUCGGGUCGUAAACCACUGUCUGGAGGGAAGAAUGCCCCGAUGGCGAAUCGGGGAGGGACGGUACCUCCGAAGGAAGCCCCGGCUAACUCCGUGCCAGCAGCCGCGGUAAUACGGAGGGGGCGAGCGUUGUUCGGAUUUACUGGGCGUAAAGGGUGUGUAGGCGGCUGCGUAAGUCUGGCGUGAAAUCUUCACCGCUUAACGGGAAGGGGACGCUGGAUACUGCGCGGCUUGAGUAUGGUAGAGGCAAGCGGAAUUCCUGGUGUAGCGGUGGAAUGUGUAGAUAUCAGGAAGAACACCUGUGGCGAAGGCGGCUUGCUGGGCCAUCACUGACGCUGAGACACGAAAGCGUGGGGAGCAAACGGGAUUAGAUACCCCAGUAGUCC